AUGAACGCUGGCGGCGUGCCUAAUACAUGCAAGUCGAGCGAACGGACGAGAAGCUUGCUUCUCUGAUGUUAGCGGCGGACGGGUGAGAAACACGUGGAUAACCUACCUAUAAGACUGGGAUAACUUCGGGAAACCGGAGCUAAUACCGGAUAAUAUUUUGAACCGCAUGGUUCAAAAGUGAAAGACGGUCUUGCUGUCACUUAUAGAUGGAUCCGCGCUGCAUUAGCUAGUUGGUAAGGUAACGGCUUACCAAGGCAACGAUGCAUAGCCGACCUGAGAGGGUGAUCGGCCACACUGGAACUGAGACACGGUCCAGACUCCUACGGGAGGCAGCAGUAGGGAAUCUUCCGCAAUGGGCGAAAGCCUGACGGAGCAACGCCGCGUGAGUGAUGAAGGUCUUCGGAUCGUAAAACUCUGUUAUUAGGGAAGAACAUAUGUGUAAGUAACUGUGCACAUCUUGACGGUACCUAAUCAGAAAGCCACGGCUAACUACGUG
rnacentral:rRNA from 1 species